AUUGAACGCUGGCGGAAUGCUUUACACAUGCAAGUCGAACGGCAGCACGGACUUCGGUCUGGUGGCGAGUGGCGAACGGGUGAGUAAUAUAUCGGAACGUGCCCAGUCGUGGGGGAUAACGUAGUGAAAAUUACGCUAAUACCGCAUACGAUCUACGGAUGAAAGCGGGGGAUCGCAAGACCUCGCGCGAUUGGAGCGGCCGAUAUCAGAUUAGGUAGUUGGUGAGGUAAAGGCUCACCAAGCCGACGAUCUGUAGCUGGUCUGAGAGGACGACCAGCCACACUGGAACUGAGACACGGUCCAGACUCCUACGGGAGGCAGCAGUGGGGAAUUUUGGACAAUGGACGCAAGUCUGAUCCAGCCAUUCCGCGUGCAGGACGAAGGCCUUCGGGUUGUAAACUGCUUUUGUACAGAACGAAAAGGUCUCUAUUAAUACUAGGGGCUCAUGACGGUACUGUAAGAAUAAGCACCGGCUAACUACGUGAA
rnacentral:rRNA from 1 species